rnacentral:rRNA from 1 species
AUGAACGCUGGCGGUCUGCUUAACACAUGCAAGUCGAACGGGAGUAGCAAUACUCCAGUGGCGGACGGGUGAGUAACGCGUGAGAAUCUGCCUUUUGGUCGGGGACAACCACUGGAAACGGUGGCUAAUACCGGAUGUGCCUGUGGGUAAAAGAUUAAUUGCCAGAAGAGGAGCUCGCGUCUGAUUAGCUAGUUGGUAGGGUAAAAGCCUACCAAGGCAUCGAUCAGUAGCUGGUCUGAGAGGACGAUCAGCCACACUGGGACUGAGACACGGCCCAGAUUCCUACGGGAGGCAGCAGUGGGGAAUUUUCCGCAAUGGGCGAAAGCCUGACGGAGCAAGACCGCGUGAGGGAAGAAGGCUCUUGGGUCGUAAACCUCUUUUGUUAGGGAAGAACACAAUGACGGUACCUAACGAAUCAGCCUCGGCUAACUCCGUGCCAGCAGCCGCGGUAAUACGGAGGAGGCAAGCGUUAUCCGGAAUUAUUGGGCGUAAAGCGUCCGCAGGUGGCGAUUCAAGUCUUCGGUCAAAGACUGGGGCUUAACCCUGGAAAGGCCGUGGAAACUGAAAAGCUAGAGUGCAGUAGGGGUAGAGGGAAUUCCCGGUGCAGCGGUGAAAUGCGUAGAGCUCGGGAAGAACAUCGGUGGCGAAAGCGCUCUGCUGGACUGCAACUGACACUCAGGGACGAAAGCUAGGGGAGCGAAUGGGAUUAGAUACCCCAGUAGUCCUAGCCGUAAACGACGGAUACUAGGUGUGGCUUGUAGCGACCCGAGCCGUGCCGUAGCUAACGCGUUAAGUAUCCCGCCUGGGGAGUACGCACGCAAGUGUGAAACUCAAAGGAAUUGACGGGGGCCCGCACAAGCGGUGGAGUAUGUGGUUUAAUUCGAUGCAACGCGAAGAACCUUACCAGGGCUUGACAUGUCGCGAAUCUUGGGGAAACCUAAGAGUGCCUUCGGGAGCGCGAACGCAGGUGGUGCAUGGCUGUCGUCAGCUCGUGUCGUGAGAUGUUGGGUUAAGUCCCGCAACGAGCGCAACCCUCGUCUUUAGUUGCCAGCAUUAAGUUGGGCACUCUAGAGAGACUGCCGGUGACAAACCGGAGGAAGGUGGGGAUGACGUCAAGUCAGCAUGCCCCUUACGUCCUGGGCUACACACGUACUACAAUGCGACGGACAAAGGGCAGCAAGCCAGCGAUGGCAAGCCAAUCCCAUAAACCGUGGCUCAGUUCAGAUCGCAGGCUGCAACUCGCCUGCGUGAAGGAGGAAUCGCUAGUAAUUGCAGGUCAGCAUACUGCAGUGAAUUCGUUCCCGGGCCUUGUACACACCGCCCGUCACACCAUGGAAGUUGGCCACGCCCGAAGUCGUUACCCUAACCGCUUGCGGAGGGGGACGCCGAAGGCAGGGCUGAUGACUGGGGUG